GUAAUCGUAGGUCAGCAUACUACGGUGAAUACGUUCCCGGGCCUUGUACACACCGCCCGUCAAACCAUGAGAGUUGGCAACACCCGAAGUCGGUAGUCUAACCGCAAGGAGGACGCCGCCGAAGGUGGGGUUGAUGAUUAGGGUUAAGUCGUAACAAGGUACC
rnacentral:rRNA from 1 species